rnacentral:rRNA from 1 species
AUACGUAGGGGGCGAGCGUUGUCCGGAAUGAUUGGGCGUAAAGGGCGCGUAGGCGGCGCGGUAAGUCUGGAGUGAAAGUCCUGCUUUCAAGGUGGGAAUUGCUUUGGAUACUGCCGCGCUUGAGUGCAGGGGAGGUUAUCGGAAUUCCCGGUGUCGCGGUGAAAUGCGUAGAGAUCGGGAGGAACACCAGUGGCGAAGGCGGGUAACUGGACUGCAACUGACGCUGAGGCGCGAAAGUGUGGGGAGCAAACAGGAUUAGAUACCCUGGUAGUCCACACUGUAAACGAUGAAUGCUAGGUGUAAGAGGUAUCGACCCCUUUUGUGCCGGAGUCAACACAAUAAGCAUUCCGCCUGGGGAGUACGGCCGCAAGGUUGAAACUUAAAGGAAUUGACGGGG